UCUCUGCUAGUACAUUGGGGGUACACGCGCCUAUCAUCCUGGGUAAUCCCUCGUACAAGAACUGGGUUCAAAUCCCAGGCAGAGAA